UACAGAGGUCUCAAGCGUUGUUCGGAUUCAUUGGGCGUAAAGGGUGCGUAGGCGGCGCGGUAAGUCGGGUGUGAAAUCUCGGGGCUUAACUCCGAAACUGCAUUCGAUACUACCGUGCUUGAGGACUGGAGAGGAGACUGGAAUUUACGGUGUAGCGGUGAAAUGCGUAGAUACCGUAAGGAAGACCAGUGGCGAAGGCGGGUCUCUGGACAGUUCCUGACGCUGAGGCACGAAGGCCAGGGGAGCAAACAGG
rnacentral:rRNA from 1 species